rnacentral:misc_RNA from 1 species
AAAGUCGUAACAAGGUUUCCGUAGGUGAACCUGCGGAAGGAUCAUUAAAGAGAGCUUGGGCUGCCUUCGGGCCCCCAGACCUCCCAACCCUAUGUGAACGUACCCUUAGUUGCUUUGGCGGGGCGCGGCUAGCAAUGGCCCCGCUGACCCCUUCCCCGGGGUCGGUGAGCCCCCGCCAGAGGACCACAAAAUUCUUGCAUUUAGAACGGUGAAGUCUGAACCUUUUCUAUUUGAAAUAGCGAAAAAACUUUCAACAACGGAUCUCUUGGUUCUG